GGGCCAUCACUGACGCUCAUGGACGAAAGCCAGGGGAGCGAAAGGGAUUAGAUACCCCUGUAGUCCUGGCCGUAAACGAUGAACACUAGGUGUCGGGGGAAUCGACCCCCUCGGUGUCGUAGCCAACGCGUUAAGUGUUCCGCCUGGGGAGUACGCACGCAAGUGUGAAACUCAAAGGAAUUGACGGGGGCCCGCACAAGCGGUGGAGUAUGUGGUUUAAUUCGAUGCAACGCGAAGAACCUUACCAGGGUUUGACAUCCUGCGAAUCUCUUGGAAACAGGAGAGUGCCUUCGGGAACGCAGUGACAGGUGGUGCAUGGCUGUCGUCAGCUCGUGUUGUGAGAUGUUGGGUUAAGUCCCGCAACGAGCGCAACCCACGUCUUUAGUUGCCAGCAUUUGGUUGGGCACUCUAGAGAGACUGCCGGUGAUAAACCGGAGGAAGGUGUGGAUGACGUCAAGUCAUCAUGCCCCUUACAUCCCGGGCUACACACGUACUACAAUGCUACGGACAAAGGGCUGCAAGUUCGCGAGGACAAGCAAAUCCCAUAAACCGUGGCUCAGUUCAGAUCGUAGGCUGCAACUCGCCUACGUGAAGGCGGAAUCGCUAGUAAUCGCAGGUCAGCAUACUGCGGUGAAUACGUUCCCGGGCCUUGUACACACCGCCCGUCACACCAUGGAAGUUGGCCACGCCCGAAGCCGUUACUCCAACCCUUGUGGAGGAGGACGUCGAAGGUGGGGCUGAUGACUGGGGUGAAGUCGUAACAAGGUAACC
rnacentral:rRNA from 1 species